rnacentral:rRNA from 1 species
UUCUGCAGUCUAGAAGGAGGUGAUCCAGCCUGAGCCAGGAUCAAACUCUGGAAUCACUAGUGAAUUCCCUUGCGGCUGGAAGUCGAUGAUGUGCGGGGGAUGGCAACGCGUUGGAUAUAUAAUCUUGCCUAUUCUAGGGUUUUACCCCGGUAAAAUGGGUGUAAUCACCCCCAUAGUAGUUAAAUGAGGCAUCACUUUUACAUUAAAAUUACGGUGGUAAUAGAUGAGUAUGCGUCCCAUUAGUUAGUUGGUAAGGUAACGGCUUACCAAGGCAGCGAUGGGUAGGGGUCCUGAGAGGGAGAUCCCCCACACUGGUACUGAGACACGGACCAGACUCCUACGGGAGGCAGCAGUGAGGAAUAUUGGACAAUGGAGGCAACUCUGAUCCAGCCAUGCCGCGUGCAGGAAGACUGCCCUAUGGGUUGUAAACUGCUUUUACAGAGGAAGAACCGCCCACGUGUGGGUGUUUGACGGUCUCUGCGAAUAAGGAUCGGCUAACUCCGUGCCACA